UACAGAGACCUCAAGCGUUAUCCGGAAUCAUUGGGCGUAAAGCGUACCGAUAGGUGGUUUAGAAAGUCAGAAGUGAAAUCUCUCAGCUUAACUGGGAGACUGUCUUUUGAAACUUCUAAACUAGAAGGGCAAAGAGGAAGCUGGAACGAACGGUGUAGUAGUGAAAUGCGUUGAUAUCGUUCGGAACACCAAUAGCGUAGGCAGGCUUCUGGGUGCCACUUGACACUGCUAGGACGAAAGCGUGGGGAGCGAAUGGG
rnacentral:rRNA from 1 species